rnacentral:lncRNA from 1 species
GGUGCAAAGGCUGCUUUGAGUCUUGCUGGGACAAUACUUGGAUGAGGGUGUUGCCUUCUAUCACAGCUAUUGCACAUGUUAGCCCAACGGUUUGACCUUUUGAUUUUUGUUCUCAAGAUUUUGAUCUUAGGAAAAUCAAAUUGUCAAAUUGUGUUUGUUUUUAUGGGGUGUGAGAAAGUAAGAGUGAGUUUAGAAUUGGAGGUGUAUACACUAAUCAUUUAACCUUACUUGGAAUUGUAUUGAAAAACAAACUCAGUGAGCUAUAGGUGGCUUGGAAAAUUUGGUGAAAGAGACUCAAAGGGUACUGUACUGUAUAUGAAUAUUUCUAGAAAUGUAGUCACAUGCUUCUUCUUUUUUAUCUUGCUUCCAGACAUGCCUGCAAUUUGCUUCGACAAGGAAUGAAACAAAUAAUAAUGAACUCAGAAACCCAUGAAGCUAAAGCAUUGGAGAAGGUGGAGGAUAAGUAAUGAGAACUCUGAAGCAUUGGCUUUUAUCAUUGAUGAGAGUUCACUCGCUUACACUAUAGAGGCAUAAGCGAUGGAGGAGGUUUCUGAGAAUCUGAAGAAACAAUUGAACAAGUUAGUGCUAGAUGAUGAAAUUAAACUUCUCCUGUAAAAGAUAUUGUAAACAUAGACACAGCAAGGUGCUCUGAUAGGGGAAAUUGAAGCAAAUGAGAAGCAUAGAUAUCAACU